AGGGGGGAGGUGGCGUGCCCCCCUGGGUCUGUGGGGAGUUGGGUGGGACGUGUUUUAUGGGCAAAAACACGUCGUUUUGAGUAGGAUUUCCACCCACACAGACUCUAGCCAGAGCGUGGCGGCUCAAGUCAGAAAGCGUCCUUGGCCCCGUAUUAUCGAAAAAUCUGGUUUAACGUAUCCGUACGAGGAUCAGCAGGAUUUCGGUGUAUUUGCCUCGUUACAAUAGAUGAUUUGAGCUUCGCCACGUUGAACGUGUUUCUCUGCCUACAUCCAGGACGGCGUGGAGUCGUUGCCCGGUCGCGUAAAUGUUCCCAGUCGGCAUGAUUCCCCAAAAAGGUGAUUGCUGCGUUAUGUUUUUCGUGUUCCAUAUGGGCAACUUCUCCCUGUUCUAUCCGGGUGGACAGUCGGUGUUUACAUGUUCGAGCCGAGUCCCUUCUAAGAAAGCUCUCCGGAUCAGAAAGUGUCGUAGAACGGUGUGUUGCCUUCUCUCCACAGUCUGUGGUAGGAUACGCAACACGCUGGACCGAUGCUAGAUGGGGAAGGAGAGCGUGGCACCGAGUCCCUUCAGAGAAAGCUCUCCGGAUCAGAAAGUGUCGUAGAACGGUGUGUUGCCUUCUCCCCACAGUCUGUGGUAGGAUACGCAACACGCUGGACCGAUGCUAGUAGGGGAAGGAGAGCGUGGCACCGAGUCCCUUCAGAGAAAGCUCUCCGGAUCAGAAAGUGUCGUACAACGGUGUGUUGCCUUCUCCCCACAGUCUGUGGUACGAUACGCAACACGCUGGAGCGAUGCUAGAUGGGGAAGGAGAGCGUAGCCCCUGUGACGGUAAUUGUUGCCGAUGUAACACCCGCGCGCUGUGGACACUCAGGACGCCUUCAUGCAAGCGAUUCUCCCAUGCUAUGCGUGGGAGGAGGCUUGGUAGGUUAGACUGCUGUGGCUACGCGAGCGCAUGAGUAGCUUUGGACCCGUGUCUGUUGGUAGAUCCCCCGUCCUCGUGCGGCCGACUACCGACGCCGUGUCCCAUCAUUCGUGUGGCUUAUGUUACAGUCGCCUUUCAAGUGCUUGCGUGCAUGUACCCGACCUACGGGAAGUGGUGCUUCGUACAUGUUUGCCUCGCGGCGGACACCUUCGGGUGUACCGUUGUGGCCUAAUGGCGCUUGCGGCGUUUCCUCGUGGUGCUGGCAUGUUUUUUGCUCGGUGCUAUCAAGGAAGCCUCGUUAUCGCUGUUGGUUUCGGAUGCUGCUCAUGAUAAAGGCUCAUGGCCCUUUUGGUGCCUAGAACCGACACAGAAGCUAUCUGGAUCAGAACGUGUCGUAGAACGGGAUGUUGCCUCUACCUCUCCACAGUUAGUGGUAGGAUACGCAGCAGGCUGGACCGAUGCUAGUAGGAGAAGGAAAGCUUAGCCCGCUCAAUUGCGACAACCGGCUCGGCCGUUGUCUGCCUGCAAGGGCGGAUUGCUACCGAUGCUGGACGUCAAAGAGGACGUGCU
rnacentral:misc_RNA from 1 species